AUAUAAAUCGCCUGAGGAUCCUAUUAAAAUGCAGACUCCAAUUCAAUCAUUCUGGAAUCUGGCCUGAGAGUCUGCAUUUCUAACAAGCUCCCUGGUGAUGCCAAC
rnacentral:pre_miRNA from 3 species